GAUGAACGCUGGCGGCGUGCCUAACACAUGCAAGUCGAGCGAUCUUCUUCGGAAGAGAGCGGCGGACGGGUGAGUAACGCGUGGGUAACCUGCCCUGUACACACGGAUAACAUACCGAAAGGUAUGCUAAUACGAGUUAAUAUGCUUUUAUCGCAUGGUAGAAGUAUCAAAGCUCCGGCGGUACAGGAUGGACCCGCGUCUGAUCAGCUAGUUGGUAAGGUAAUGGCUUACCAAGGCGACGAUCAGUAGCCGACCUGAGAGGGUGAUCGGCCACAUUGGAACUGAGACACGGUCCAAACUCCUACGGGAGGCAGCAGUGGGGAAUAUUGCACAAUGGGCGAAAGCCUGAUGCAGCAACGCCGCGUGAGCGAUGAAGGCCUUCGGGUCGUAAAGCUCUGUCCUCGAGGAAGAUAAUGACGGUACUUGAGGAGGAAGCCCCGGCUAACUACGUGCCAGCCGCCGCAGUAA
rnacentral:rRNA from 1 species